UAUAUAUAAAGAAAUUUGAUUACUCCCAUUUCAAUUUGAGUAUUUUUAAAAAAUAAUUUUUCUUUCAUUCCAUUAUUUAUUUGUAUAGUUGUAUCUUUGUGUUAUAGUGAUAAUCGUAUCUCUCAGUUGUGGUGGAUGAAUGAGCCAUUUGAUGCUUAUUCUUUUUUGUUUACUUUCAUUUGUAAUCAGUUGAGAAUAAACUCUUAUGGUUUUUCAUUGGUUGUUUAUUGAUGCGAUCAUGAACGUAAGAACGUUGAAUAUGAAUUACUAAACAGUUUAAAUAGAUGCUAAUUAUUUAUUUUAUUUAUAUUUAUUAUAAGUAAUUCCAUUUGGAUCAGUCCCUUUAAGAUCUAUCUUUGUUUUGGAAAUAUUGAUUUGACAGCCUUUAUGGCCUAAACUGUGGGGAGGCUCUUGCCAAUGAUGUAUGUUCUGUCCUUUAAAGAGAAGAUCAUAACAGAGUUGCAGAGUUUGUGGUCAAGGAUGUCCAAUUAAUUCAGGCAAAGACUGGCAAAGCAUUAAAGGAAACAGUUCAGUGCGAAGUAAAGGCACCCAAAAAGAAGUCAAGGUAAAGGUUCGCUGAAAGAACGAGAACUGGUUCAUAUUUUUAGAGAUGGGUUCGGGAGUGCGGUUACUCACGAAGAAGGGUUAAGACUUCCGUGACGCCCGUUCCACGAACGAAUCGGUAAUCUUUUAUUGAAAAAUUACUCGAAGACCAUCCCAAAGCUUUGGUGAAGUCUCGAAAUUCUCCUCACUUAGGGAAAUCUCCGGAAGAACUCGUCUCUACAAGCUCUUCGGAGAAAUCCCAUCAUCGGGAUUCUCGCACCAUUUGCAAGAAAAAUGCGGCGUGCUAUGAUAGGAUAAAAUGCUGAUGUCUACAUGCACACGUUUAUUGAAUUAGGUAUUGGAGUUUAAAGUUCGGAUUUAUCCCAACGUUUCGGUGAAAAUCCGUCUCGAACUUCGCACCCAAAAAACAUCCACCCGAAAAAGGCAACUCUUUGCCCUUUCCUAGAUGGAAUUUCUUAAACAAUCAUCUCAUUUUUCUUAUAAUUUUUUAUAUUUGUAUCAUGUUGUUUUUUUUUUUAUUAUUUUUUGUUUAUAUAUAUACAUAUUAUAUUUACAAGUAUCUAAAUAUGAAUAUUGAUCCCAAUUAUAUA
rnacentral:sRNA from 10 species